GUGAGGAAUAUUGGACAAUGGGCGCAAGCCUGAUCCAGCCAUGUCGCGUGCAGGAAGACGCAUCUAUGGUGUGUAAACUGCUUUUGUACGGGAAGAAACACUCCCUCGUGAGGGAGCUUGGCGGUACCGUAAGAAUAAGGAUCGGCUAACUCCGUGCCAGCAGCCGCGGUAAUACGGAGGAUCCAAGCGUUAUCCGGAAUCAUUGGGUUUAAAGGGUCCGUAGGCGGUUUAAUAAGUCAGUGGUGAAAGCCCAUCGCUCAACGAUGGAACGGCCAUUGAUACUGUUAGACUUGAAUUACAAGGAAGUAACUAGAAUAUGUAGUGUAGCGGUGAAAUGCUUAGAUAUUACAUGGAAUACCAAUUGCGAAGGCAGGUUACUACUUGUGGAUUGACGCUGAUGGACGAAAGCGUGGGGAGCGAACAGGAUUAGAUACCCUGGUAGUCC
rnacentral:rRNA from 1 species